rnacentral:lncRNA from 1 species
CUCAAGCAAACACGUGGUUUGAUCUUAAACAAUUGGUGCCCAAUGUGGGUCUCCGGGUUCUGGCCGAAAGCCAGCCGUCCUAGAAGACUCUGAGGCAGACUUGCAGUGAUGGGACGGUGACUGAUCACCUCUGAUAUACAGUAAUGACUGCCAUUACCACCUUGCCUAUAUAUCCUGUCUCUGUAAUUGGCAUGUCUCCGUGUCUGUAUCUGCUGCUGGAGGGCACCAAAGACAGGUAAAUAGCUUGCCCGGACUCCCUUUGUAUAGAACCUGUAUAUUGACUAUCUGCCUCCUGGGUGUGAAUGUAUUUUUGCAUAAGGCUAAGGAAUUUCACAGGAUUUAUUUUUGCUUCACCGCCGAAGCGCCAUAUGCACUCGGCUGGGGGUGCAUUUAUUGUUGCUUUACCACUGAAGCGCCAUAAGCGCUCGGCUGGGGGUGCAUUUAUUGUUGCUUUACCGGCAAAAAAGGCCGUAUGCAUGUGGCAGGGGACGCUCAGUUAUUUGUUAGUCUUAGCACAGUACGGCUUGUGGCAUUUUUUUUGAGAAAUAUAUAUAUAUAUAUAUAUAUAUAUAUUUAGUUAAGGGGGUUUGUUUUUUGUUUGCAUUUAUAUUCUGGGUUUUUUUGGUUUAUAUGUCUCUUUGGUUUGCAAUAAGUGUAAAAUGUAACGUGCAAGUCUAUGUCUUUCUGUCUUGUUACUUUCCUCUUAUACUUUCAUGAGAGAAGUGUUUAGUCACAGGCGCACACAGGGUUAACCUCCGUAGCUGUAGACUCUCUAUCUCCUGUUUGUCUCCCUCCUCCCCUUUCCCCGGCCUCCACCCCUGUGCUCCCUCCUCCCUCUGGCUUUCUGUCUCUCUCUGUCAUUCCUCCCAGCGACUCUGGCUAUAUGUCUCUCUCUGUCAUUCCUCCCAGCGCCUCCGUCUCUCUCUCUUGUGAGGUCUUGUUAAGGGGGAAUGGGUCACAAGUUUACGAAGCCCACUAGGGGCUGGCUAGCCUGUGAUAUUGUAAGGAAGAGGGAGGGUGAACAAGCAGUGGGGAAUCAGAUGAAGGAGAUCGCUAAGAUCUGUAGCAUUACUAGGUCUUCCAUACCAUGAAAGUAAAUAUAAUGCUGAAAUUAUUGUUGAAACCCCAUGCCAGCCAUCGCCCCAUCAUGGUGCCUGGCAUGGAGGGAUGGAGGUUGGUCCUGUCCCCAUGACCUCCACCCAAUUGCCAGUGUCCACAGUCACUAGCCCCUGCCCAUAUGUUCCCUGUCCUUAGAGCGGAUGAAUCAUUGUUUUCCCUCGCCCCAGCAUUCCUUCCCUGCCCGCUUACGAUAUUCCGCCCCUAUUGAGUCCGCCCCGUCAUGCUUGUCCCUGUCACUUCCCCCUUGCUAUGACCUCCCUUCCUGCCCCUUCUGCCCCUGUCAUGGCCGCCACGUCCUCUACUGCGCCUGCCAUCACUUCCUUCUCCGUCCCUGUCACGGCUGCCCACAUGAUGUCAACCCCUCUUAUGCCCGUUAUGGCACACGAACACCCAGUUAAUACGGGAGGUCUGCCCACCCUCACGUUCCAGUGGGGAGCCCAUGCUCAGUCUACCCCCUUCCAACCCUCACGUCCUCUCCCCAGCCCAUACGUUACUUAUGAAGCGCCGCAGGCCCCAGUCCUCUCCGACGAUGCCAGUUCCCAUGAGUCCCAGAUCACCCCUCCCCCUCAUCCUUCCUCCUUAGGUAGCCUAUUUGGGGAAAUCCUUCAUCACCCCAUGCUGAGAAUUCCAGAACCCCCCAGGAUGUGAAUUCCAGAGUCCCCCAGGAUCAUAAUCCUAGAGCCUAGUUCCUUACGGAUGGAACCCCUUUGAUGUAUGUCUCAUUUACCGCGUCCCAGGCCAUGACUCUGGUGGGCUCUCUCCCAGAUCCAGAGAAACAGCCUAUGCCCUUCUACCGAAGGAUUGAUGAGUCUGAUUUCCCCUCAGGUGUUGAAUUCUGUGAACAGCUCCGGCUGUGGGCCCAAGAUAAAUUAGCUGAUCAGGCUACCUGUAUUAACAAUGUCAUCCAAGAAAAGACAGAAUCUGUGGAGAAGUACCACUCUAGGUUGUCCCAAAUUCUCUGACCUGGGUUUCACUCCAAAUGCUCUCUGCGGCCUUUGUAGCAGGCCUUAAAGAAUCCAUUCGUAAAGGCCUAAUUCUGUCUUGACCUGAAUAUAGAAUAAUCCCCCUGGACACCCUCCUGUUAGUUGCUAAGGGCCUAGAGUCACCGAGGAAACCAGCUCCCUAUAUGUUCUCUGGCCCUGCACAGCUACCCCCACUGACCCCUGGGUAUGCACCGCUGCCUCCAGGCCUACCCUUGUCUCCAGGCCUACCCUUGCCUCCAAGCCUACCUAUGAGUCGGCUCACUAUGCCGCAAUACAGGAAUUGUUUUAACUGUGGUCAACCAGGUCAUUUCAGAAGAGAGUGUACUGCCCCUAGGCCCCCUAGACAGUUCCAGCAGGAUGUGAGAGAGCCUGAUUCUGCAGCCAAUUACCCCCAGUUCUCAGCUCCUUGGUUACCCCGCAGCUAAUAAUCCCACUGCCUGUUAUCCCACUGCCAGCUACCCUGUUGCCAACUAGCCCCCACCCCCCAGUCAGUAACCCUGCACCAGCCAGCAGCGGCUAGAUCUCCUACAAUAGGUAACUGGCAAACCUGUGUCUCCUUCCCCUGUCAUGGCAGUAUCUUCAGGGGAUAAGGGUGGGCCCCUAGCCACAGUCUUCCUACCUGUAGAAGGACACCCAACCACCUUAGUUGACACAGGCGCAGCCCGCAGCGUCCUUAGAGAACAAGACCUGCCUGACUCCUCUUUUCUGUCUAUCAUUGAUCUUUCUUGUGGCGGUGUAGAUGGUACCCCUCGAAGUAGCCCACUAACUAAGUUCUUACAAGUUGGCACUUACCCUCAUCUCUUGGCUCCGUUUUGUGGUUUCUUCUACCUGCCCAAUUAACCUACUGGUAGCAGAUGUACUCUCCCGCUUACAAGUCUCUAUUUCCUUCACCCCAGAUGGCCAGGUUCAGUUGUCCUCCCCCCUAUCUACUGCUGAUACUUCAGCCCUCUGC